rnacentral:rRNA from 1 species
CCUACGGGAGGCAGCAGUGGGGAAUAUUGGACAAUGGGCGAAAGCCUGAUCCAGCAAUGCCGCGUGUGUGAAGAAGGCCUUCGGGUUGUAAAGCACUUUAAGUGGGAAAGAAGUUCAUUCAAUUAAUACCUGGAUGGAUUGACGUUACCCACAGAAUAAGCACCGGCUAACUCCGUGCCAGCAGCCGCGGUAAUU